CAACCUAAAACAAAUCCUAAGAAAUAGACAAAUCAGGCCCUCAAUGUAAUGGCCCAUAAAUCAAAAGAAACCUAAUAAGGUUGGCCUUAAGAAAAUAAAAACAAACUAACGGUAAAGUAAAAGAAAGCUUCUAGAAAUCUCAGUUGAACAGGAAACAGCUGGCCUCCAUUAUCUUUUCAUUUCCCAUCACCGACACAGCCAUUAAUAUUAGUAGAUUUCCCCAAAUCUUUUAACCUUCUGCUUCUCCUUUCAACAGUCGUCUCUUUUCUCUCAAUUUUGAUAUCUUGGACGUUCCCUCUCCACUGCUCGACGGACGAUAUUCGGAACCGCCCCAACCAGGUAAUGUCCUUCUCCCUUCUUUAAGGCUUCUGUUGCAACCAAAUGAGCAUACGUAUUUUCUGUUCUGGGAAUAUGACAAAAGCCGAUACUGUUAAAAAUUAUUUUUAUUUCUUGGAUAUCUUUUAUGAUAGCUCCGAUGGUCGAUCUGUCUUGUUCUGAGCUUUGACACUUUUUGAUAAUCAUUUUCGAAUCUCCUAUUAUUUGUAAGUCUUUGAGCCCCAUAGACCUUCCUAACUCUAAGGCUUGUAACCCUGCAUGUGCCUCUGCCGCGAAUGGAGUUGCUAUGUUGGUAUGGAUUACUGAUUUUGAAGCCAAAAUCUCCCCUCCCUCACCUCGAACAAUCAAACCUGAAGCAGAUCUUGCAUGUUGCUGAUCGAAAGCUGCAUCAAAGAAGACUGACACACUCGUUCUUCUUUCUUCAGUUCUCGGACCACCAUUUCCUGCCAAAUUACCAAAGCCCAUAACAGAAAAGUCGGCACUGUUCAUUUGACCCUAGACUAAAAACCCAUGACAUCUACGAAAGAUAUGAUUACAAUCAUCCUCUUCUUGGUUGCAUCGAGGACACUGGGCAUCAGCAACUAUACGUUUAAUCUUCAGAUUAGCAAAAGUAGGAAUGUAAUUCCAAGAGAUUCCCCAUAUUGUAAUUUUGACUUUCGAGGGGAUUUGUAAAUUCCAUAGCUUUUUGUAAAAGGCUUUAGUUUCAGUUUGUAAAUUAAUAGGAUUUUGAGUACCCUCCUGUAAUAGUUUGUAGGUGCUUCUAACCGAAAAUUUGCCAGAUGAUUCUCCUAUCCAGACUUGGAAGUCUUCAUUUGCUGACAUUGCCAAAGGAAUCUGCAAAAUCUUUUUAGCAACUUCCUUAUUGAAGGUAUUAAUAACUAUAUCAUCUUUCCACUUUCUUCUAUCUGCAUCAAUCAAGUCCGAUACUAAUGAAAUAUUUCCAUCUCUCUGUUGAUUUUGCAAUCUGUCUUCUUCACUGCCCAAAAUCCAGAGGUCCUUCCAAACAGAAAUACGAUCCCCCUUACCAACCCUCUAGCAAAGUCCUCCUUCCAAAAUACCUUUUGCCGACCAGAUACUCUUCCAGGUAAGCGAAGGUAAAUUCCCUAAUUGAGCAGUUAGAAAACACGCAUUCAGAUAAUAUUUAGCUUUCAAUACUCGAGCUAGCAAAGAAUCUGGAAAAUUAAUAAGAUACCAGCCCUGUUUAGCUAAUAAUGCAAUAUUAAAUUUAUCGAGUUUUCUAAAGCCAAGACCACCUGCUUUUUUCAAGACACACACAUCCUUCCACGCACACCAAUGAAUCCCCUUUUUCCCCAAUUUUUCCCCCACCAUAAUUUAGCUAUUAUACCUUCCAACUCGUUACAUAAAGACUUAGGAAGUAAGAAACACGCCAUAGAAUAAGUUGGAAUAGACUGUAGUACUGCUUUAAUGAAAACCUCUUUUCCACCUUGAGAAAGAUACUUGACACUCCAAUUAUCAAUUCUUUGUUUUAAUCUGUCCUUCAAACUUUGAAAAGCUGCCUUCUUGCCUCUAUCCACUAAAUUUGGAAGUCCUAAAUACCUUUCUGGAUUAUUUGAACUGCGAACAAGCAUCCGAGCAAUUACCCUUUUUCCUUCCUCCUGCGUAUUUGUACUAAAAAAGAUUGUGGAUUUAUUGUAAUUAACACAUUGGCCCAAACUUAGCUCGUAUUCCUUUAAAAUACUCUUCAAGACAGUAGCACCUCUCUCUGUGGCUUCUCCAAACAGAAUGCAAUCAUCCGUAAAUAACAAA